rnacentral:rRNA from 1 species
CCCCAGGUCAGGCGGGACUACCCACUAAGUUUAAGCAUAUAAAUAAGUGGAGGAGGAGAAACUUACGAGGAUUUCCCUAGUAACGGUGAGCAAACCGGGAGAUGCCUAGCUUGAGAAUCAAGUGGCCGUGCCGCUCAAAUUGUAGUCUGGAGAGGCGUCCUCAGCGACGGACCGGGCCCAAGUCCCCUAGAAAGGGGCGCCUGGGAGGGUGAGAGCCCCGUCCGGCCCGGACCCUGUCGCCCCAUGAGGCACCAUCAAUGAGUUAGAUUGUUUGGGAAUACAGCCCAAAUCGGGCGGUAAACUCCGUCCAAGGAUAAAUACAGGCGAGAGACUGAUAGCGAACAAGUACCACGAGGGAUAGAUGAAAAGGACAUUGAAAAGAGAGUCAAAGAGUGCUUGAAAUUACCGGGAGGGAAGCAGAUGGGGGUCGGCGAUGCGCCCCGGUCGUAUGCGGAACGGCUUCAGCUGGUCCACCAAUCGGCUCAGGGCAUGGACAGUUGUUGGCCGCACCGGUGGSCAAAGCUUGGGGGCACCGCGCCCCCGGCAGCCGUCGUUGGUGCAGUCGGUCACCGCGUGCCUCUAGCGCGCUCCUCAGGACGCUGCGCCGCAACGUCCUGUGGGCUCCCCAUCCAACCCAUCUUGAAACAUGGACCAAGGAAUCUGACAUGCGUAUGAGUCGAUGGGUUCUAAAACCUGGGAUGCACAAGGAAGCUGACAAGCAGGAGGCCCUCGCGGGCCGCACUGCUGGCCGACCCUGAUCUUCUGUGAAGGGUUCGAGUUGGAGCACGCCUGUCGGGACUCGAAAGAUGGUGAACUAUGCCUAAGUGGGGCAAAGCCAGAGGAAACUCUGGUGGAGGCUCGAAGCGAUACUGAUGUGCAAAUCGUUCAUCUGACUUGGGUAUAGGGGCAAAAAACUAAUCGAAUCAUCUAGUAGCUGGUUCCCUCCGAAGUUUCCCUC